rnacentral:rRNA from 1 species
UACGGAGGGUGCAAGCGUUAAUCGGAAUUACUGGGCGUAAAGCGCACGCAGGCGGUCUGUUAAGUCAGAUGUGAAAUCCCCGGGCUUAACCUGGGAACUGCAUUUGAAACUGGCAGGCUUGAGUCUUGUAGAGGGGGUAGGAAUUCCAGGUGUAGCGGUGAAAUGCGUAGAGAUCUGGAGGAAUACCGGUGGCGAAGGCGGCCCCCUGGACAAAGACUGACGCUCAGGUGCGAAAGCGUGGGGAGCAAACAGG